UACGUAGGUGGCAAGCGUUGUCCGGAUUUACUGGGCGUAAAGAGCGCGCAGGCGGUCGUGCAAGUCGCGUGUGAAAGCCCCCCGGCUCAACUGGGGAGGGUCACGCGAUACUGUUCGACUUGAAGGCAGGAGAGGGAAGUGGAAUUCCCGGUGUAGUGGUGAAAUGCGUAGAUAUCGGGAGGAACACCAGUGGCGAAGGCGACUCCUGGCCUGUUCUGACGCUGAGGCGCGAAAGCUAGGGUAGCAAACGGGG
rnacentral:rRNA from 1 species